rnacentral:tRNA from 1 species
CAAAAUGUAGCUUAACUAAAGCCCCUUGCUUACACCAAGAAAACGUCCGUGCAACUCAGACCAUUUUGA